AUCCCUUCCGUCCCAG
rnacentral:tRNA from 1 species